rnacentral:lncRNA from 1 species
CCCCUGGCAUGGAAGCCUUAGGCUGAAAUCCUUGGUUGGGUUGGUCUAAUUCUGAAUUCUAGACAAAUGAAAAUAGGUCAAGCUCACCAACUGUCUUCUAGCACUUCUCUCAGACUUAAGGGGAAAAUGGUCUCUUAAAUAAUAAGACAGUUCUGAGAAACUAUAGUUGUUUUGGAAGUGUUUAAAACAUUUGACAUGAAGAUCUUAACCAAGUUUCCUAAGUUUUGACUGAAUUGAAACAAGAGUCAGGCAGGAAUGUGUGAUGCAGUUUUGAUCCCAGCACCUGGAAGAUGGAGCCAGGCAGAUCUCUGUGAGGUUGAGGCCAGCCUGAUCUACAUAGCUAGCUCCAGGCUGCUGAGGCUACAUAGUGAGAUCUGGACUUCAGUCUUGGCCUUAGUUUAUAUAGAAGUAUCACAGCUGACCUGAACUCAGAACUCCAAAAGACAGAGGCAUUUGCCUCUGUAGGGAAAUGAAGGAGCGGAUGCCCAUGCUUGUGUCUAAGAGAAGCAAAAGGCUCCCUGGCUCUGCCCUUCAGAAGCAUCGUGAGUGGUUGAACGUGUGAGCAUAUGGGACUCUGUAUAGGGCUUGCUACUUUUGCUGAUUUUUUUUCUUUGCAAGUGUCUUGUUUGUUCCUUCUCAUGGGUUUUGCCUCUCCCCUCACCUUGCUACCUCUGGAGGUGUUCCCCCCCCCAAAAGAUUGUAAAACUGAACGCUUAGACCGCUUGAGGUGGUUUCAGUUGCCUGAACCCUUGUUUUCCUCUGCAAAACUCUGUGGGCCCGGGAUGUUUAGAACAUUUCUGCAUCACUAUGACCCUCAGAAACCCAUUAGCACAAAAGGAUUUGGGGCAGAGACUUCACAGUCAGAGAAAAGACUUAGGCCUGGGAAUGUCCAUUCAGUGUUUGCAGGAGUGGACCUAGUCCUAAAGAAACCAGACUAUUGGGGAAAAGAUUUACCACUCAUUGAUCAGCACACCACCAAGCAUCUUUCUAAUACUUAACCUUCUCUUAUUCAACUCUCUUCCCUGGGUACAAUGUAUGCUGCCGGUGAGGAUGGGGGAAAGUUGAGGAGAAACUCUUUUCAGGGAGGUUCUCUGGGAAGUUGCUUCCAGAGUGAUCUCUAUAGGUAGAAUAGACAGUAAGUUGGAGGGAACUCAAAUUGGCCCCAGGUAGUCAGCCUCUGCUUCAAGCUAUUUGUAUUCCCCUGUUUCCCUCCAGCUUCAAUCUUUAGUGGUAGGUGGCUCUGUUAGAGUGAAUAUAGACAAAGGUUGGCAAGACGCCCCCCCCCAUCCCCACCCCAAGAUGCAAUUAAUGCUUUGUACUUGGUGGGUAUUGAUUUGUGGUUCAAAUGUGAGUGGUGGAGAGCAGGCUAGUCUUAGUACAAAGGCUGACUUUGCUUGUGGCUCCUCCCCUUUGCCUGUACUCCUGGCCUGCAUGGGCCUCCAACUUGUCCUCCAGUCCUAACACCCGUGAACUGCACUGGUACCAACAGCUCAGCCACAAAGGAGUCAAGGCCAUGGGCAGCCAAUCCAUUCCUGUUAGCUUCAUGACCCCAAGGUUAAGGUUCUGCCAACAAGCAUUCUGCCUGACAUCUACUUUAUCUAGACAACCCAGAUCCAGUUGUCUCCGUACCUUGUCACUCUGAGCAGAUCUACCCAUGCACCUGUCCACCCCCCUCCUCCUCACCUUUGAACCAGUCAG